rnacentral:rRNA from 1 species
CGCCAGACUCCUACGGGAGGCAGCAGUGGGGAAUAUUGCACAAUGGGGGGAACCCUGAUGCAGCGACGCCGCGUGAGUGAAGAAGUAUUUCGGUAUGUAAAGCUCUAUCAGCAGGGACGAAAAUGACGGUACCUGAGUAAGAAGCCCCGGCUAACUACGUGCCAGCAGCCGCGGUAAUACGUAGGGGGCAAGCGUUAUCCGGAUUUACUGGGUGUAAAGGGAGCGUAGACGGUUAUGCAAGUCUGGAGUGAAAGGCGGGGGCUCAACCCCCGGACUGCUCUGGAAACUGUAGAACUAGAGUGCAGGAGGGGUAAGUGGAAUUCCUAGUGUAGCGGUGAAAUGCGUAGAUAUUAGGAGGAACACCAGUGGCGAAGGCGGCUUACUGGACUGUAACUGACGUUGAGGCUCGAAAGCGUGGGGAGCAAACAGGAUUAGAUACCCGGGUA